GCAAACAGAACCAAAGAUAAGUGAUCUAUUAGGUCUUCCUACUCAGUCAAGGCUAAUCUUGUUGAACCUGAUUUCAGACACAAAGGGAAGAUGACCAGAAAACCCACUUGGCAAAGAAGGAGGAUCCUUGAGAAGCCAGGCCAAUCUCAGAGAUACCAUAAAGGAGCCUGCUAUGUGUGUGGGAAAAUUGGACAUAAGGCUUACCAAUGCACUCUAAGGAAG
rnacentral:lncRNA from 1 species